UUCCUUUCUACUAAUUUUGUCCAGUGGCCACUCGCAGCAUUGCAACAAAAAACCUCCCAGUGACCCAGAAAGGACUUUCCCCGUAGACCACCAUUGUAAAAGAGACGUCUGUAAAAAUGCUGCCAGGACAACUCCAACUGCAAACAAGGUCGGUGUUUGUGUGUGUGUGUGUGUGUGUGUGUG